rnacentral:rRNA from 1 species
AGGAUAAACGCUGGCGGCGUGCAUGAGACAUGCAAGUCGAACGGACGAUCAGGGCUUGCUCUGAUCGUUAGUGGCGGACGGCUGAGUAACGCGUAGGUGACCUGCCCCGAAGUGGGGAAUAACUGCCCGAAAGGGUGGCUAAUACCGCAUGUGGUGGUGUGUUCAUUCACACCAGUAAAGCCGCAAGGCGCUUCGGGAGGGGCCUGCGUCCGAUUAGCUCGUUGGUGGGGUAACGGCUCACCAAGGCGACGAUCGGUAGGUGGUCUGAGAGGACGAUCACCCAGACUGGGACUGAGACACGGCCCAGACUCCUACGGGAGGCAGCAGUCGGGAAUUUUGCGCAAUGGACGAAAGUCUGACGCAGCAACGCCGCGUGAGGGAUGACGGCCUUCGGGUUGUAAACCUCUUUAUCAGGGACGAUAAUGACGGUACCUGAUGAAUAAGUCACGGCUAACUACGUGCCAGCAGCCGC